rnacentral:rRNA from 1 species
CCUACGGGUGGCAGCAGUGGGGAAUAUUGGGCAAUGGGCGCAAGCCUGACCCAGCAACGCCGCGUGAAGGAAGAAGGCUUUCGGGUUGUAAACUUCUUUUCUCAGGGACGAAGAAAGUGACGGUACCUGAGGAAUAAGCCACGGCUAACCACGUGCCAGCAGCCGCGGUAAUACGUAGGUGGCAAGCGUUAUCCGUAUUUAUGGGGUGUAAAGGGCGUGUAGGCGGGAGCGCAAGUCAGAUGGUAAAGUUCAGGGCUCAAACCUGAGCCUGCAUUUGAAACUGUGUUUCUUGAGUGCUGGAGAGGCAGGCGGAAUUCCGGGUGUAGCGGUGAAAUGCGGAGAUAUACGGAGGAACACCAGUGGCGAAGGCGGAGUGCUGGACAGUAACUGACGCUGAGGCGCGAAAGCGUGGGGAGCAAACAGGAGUAGAUACCCUUGUAGUC